rnacentral:rRNA from 1 species
UACGUAGGCAGCAAGCGUUGUUCGGAGUUACUGGGCGUAAAGGGUGCGUAGGCGGUUGUUUAAGUUUGGUGUGAAAUCUCCCGGCUCAACUGGGAGGGUGCGCCGAAUACUGAAUGACUAGAGUGCGGGAGAGGAUAGUGGAAUUCCUGGUGUAGCGGUGAAAUGCGUAGAUAUCAGGAGGAACACCAGUGGCGAAGGCGGCGACCUGGGCCAAUAUUGACGCUGAGGUGCGAAAGCGUGGGGAGCAAACAGG